GAUCAUGGCUCAGGAUGAACGCUAGCGGCAGGCCUAACACAUGCAAGUCGAGGGGCAGCGGGGGAUUGAGCUUGCUCAAUUUGCCGGCGACCGGCGCACGGGUGCGUAACGCGUAUGUAACCUACCCUGAACUGGGGGAAUAACACUGAGAAAUCGGUACUAAUACCCCAUAAUACACUGGAAGGCAUCUUUUGGUGUUGAAAGCUCCGGCGGUUCAAGAUGGACAUGCGUUGUAUUAG
rnacentral:rRNA from 1 species